GAUGAAGAACGUAGCGAAAUGCGAUAAGUAAUGUGAAUUGCAGAAUUCAGUGAAUCAUCGAAUCUUUGAACGCAUCUUGCGCUCCUUGGUAUUCUGAGGAGCAUGCCUGUUUGAGUGUCAUUAAAUUCUCAACUACACUGACUUUGAAUUGGUGUGGCUUGGAUUUGGGGGGAAAAUUGUUGUGGGCUUUUUGUAUAGUCUGCUCCCCUGAAAUUGAUUAGCGGUACCUUUGUGGAACUGUCUACAGGUGUGAUAAUUACCUACAUCUUAGACAUCUGCUGGAAUGCUGCUUUCUAAACCUUACUUGUAUUGACAAUCUUGACCUCAAAUCAGGUAGGACUACCCGCUGAACUUAAGCAUAUCAAUAAGCGGAGGA
rnacentral:misc_RNA from 1 species